rnacentral:lncRNA from 1 species
UUUUUUUUUUCCUUUAAUUCAUAUGUUUUUCCUCCUUGAUAUAGUAAUGAUUUUAUGGGUCAGUUUGUAUAUUCAAAUUAUUUAUCUGAUUGGUGAGAAAAUGUAGGAAACGUGAAAGGAUUACAGUUUAUUGAAUUGAUAUUCUGGGAUUUACCUCUGUAUGGGAAGGGAAAGCAUGGAACUUUUCUUUUGAUUUGGCUUAGUUUGAAAGCCAACUUGGGAUAUAGAGUUUUACUUUAUUAUUUUCCUUUUAUCAGUUAUGGAGGCAUCUGAUAGAAGCAAGCAAGCAUAGUUAUUAGUAGUGAGAUUGAAACAAAACAAUUAUUGGUUUUAGGAAUUCUCUGAUCUUUCUUUAUUUUUAAAUUAUAAAUUUGAGCUUAUUUAUUUCUUUUUUUGGGGAGCGCAGAAGAAGGUGUCGGCCCAGGAGGUUCAGGAACUGGUAAAAGGAGAAAGAAAUGUACCCCUUGUCGUUGAUUUCUUUGCAACAUGGUGUGGACCUUGUAUAUUGAUGGCUCAAGAACUUGAAAUGGUAUGCUUUACACAUAUGCAUACUACUUUUAGCGACGCUACUCUGUAUUCAUAUAUGGCUUUUUUUUUUCUUUUGAAGUUUUGAUGGUUCAUCUGUGCAAUUUGAUAAAAUACUUGUAUUUAGUACUUUGAUAUGGAUUUCAAACUGGUUGUUAGAGAAAUUCUGUUUUACUGCCUUUCUAGACCUUCCUAAUCUUUUGUGUGUGGAAAGAUCUUUUAAGGGGGAAAUUUGAAAAUUUGAACUGCACACAGUAUGCAUGCCCACUAUGUUUUAAACCAUUGUCACUUGUAUGUUUUAGUACUGUAGAAAGAAAACCACUCUCACUUGUAUGUCUUAAUCGUGUCUGUAGAAAGAAAACCACUCUCACUUGUAUGUAUUAGUAUUGACUGUAGAACGAGAACCACUCUCACUUGUAAGUUUUAGUCUUGACUAACAACAACCCAAUAUCACUUCUCGUAGAUUAGGACUUUCAUAUGCUGCCCAAUUGUAGGGGUCCAUUUCUUGUAUGGUGGCUGUUUGAUCAUGAUUGGACGAUUUUGAGUGUUUCUGAAAAGCAAGAAAUAUUAUUAAAGGUACCCCACCUUUUUUUAAAACAUUCAUGGCUGGCUGUAAAAAUGAUGUUGAUUAUAUGAAUGAGAUUUUAGAAGUGUUCCUCUUCAAGUGGGUGGUAAAUGGAGAAAAUCCUGAUCCAACAUGUUUUAAUUGAUGACAACAUCUUCAAGACGAGUGUACCUUAGUUAGCGUUUUAAUCUCAUCUGAAAUGCUGUAAUAUGACUGAAUGAAGUGCGAACCGCAAGUGUAUUUCCUGGAUAGAAGUUUCUAAAAAGCUGAAAGUGAAAUAUAAUACGUGAGAAAUGUGGUGUCUUUAGAUGUGUGAGGUACAUUAUUUGCACAAGCUAUUUCUGAACAUUAGCUAGUAUAUGUCUUUGACAUGUGAUUAACAUUUACUUUUAAGAUGCUUACUGAGUGCUAGUUACAACGGUGAUUAGAUUAAGACUCUUUCCAUGCUGCCAAAUGUGGAUGCCCAUUUCGUGUAAAACAUUAAAUAUAAUAAAAGUUGGCCAAACUUUUUGUAAAACAUUUCUUGCCUGUCCAGUUGUUCAUAUGCAUAUUGUGAUCUGUGAUUCUGCAUGUUUUACUUUAUUACAAAAUCUUCAGAAGGAGAGUACCAUUGUUGUUGGUUACUGGAGGGGAUCUAUGGUCUUAUGGUAGUGAUGCUAGCUUUUUAUUCUAUCAAAUGCUAGAAUAUGAGAUGAAUGAAGUGUGAGAUGCAAGUCUAUGCACCACGAUUGCAUUUGCAAACUUAGCUUUAUAUUUUCUUGUACCAUUCCCAUACUGUAGAACUGCUGCAUAGUGCAUUUGGGGAAAGUGCAUCUUGUAAAGUAGAAAAGGUAUUGAAAUAUGUCGGAUAAUGUUGUGCUUGCAUUAUGAAAUCCUAUUUACUUGGUAAUAGACAUCAACAAAAGUGAAAGAAAUAACAUGGUUCUCUUUUUUCUAAUUAAUGUCUGCCAUUUCAAGGAAAUAAACUGGAGGCAUUAAAUUUAUUCAGCUCAUGUUGUAUGAAUCCUCAAAAGGGUAUUUGAGCAUGACAUUUUCACUUGUUUCACCAAAAGCUUUGAUAAACUUGUGUUCUUAUUGUCCUGGUUCAUAUCUUUAUGUAAGCCAAAAGAUAUAUGAAUAACUAAGUCAAUUGACCCAAUUGUGAACAGUUUGAUAGUAAACCCAAUGUUCCACUUGUUAUAAGAUUAGGAAACCCAGGUAACUCAAAGCCAUAUCCAUGAUGCAGUCUUACAGUAGUUAGCUUAAUUGAAAACUAAGCUAAGGGUUAUUUUAGAACUUUUCAGAGCAAACUUCUGAUCUAUAAACGAUGGGCUAUCAAUCAGAUAGGCAAAAAUCAAAUAUGAGUAUUUAUCCUACUAUCUUUACCAAUCCAAAAUAAAAAUACCCAUGUAUGCAGAUUUCUUUUGAAAGUGAAUGUAAUGGUAAAAGUCUUUAUAUUCCAAGUGUUAGCUAACAUAUAAAUUAUAUUCCGUAUUAGGAUUCUAAUGUUAAUCAAAUUGAAUCUACCCUGUUCAGAAUUUGAUUAAAAAAAACUUGGUUUGUAAGUAUAUGAGUAACGUUGAAAUUUGAAUUUUCGUAACAGCUUGCUGUGGAGUAUGAGAGCAAUGUUAAAAUUAUUAAGGUUGAUACAGAUGAUGAGUACGAGUUUGCACGUGACAUGCAGGUAAUUGCAUUUCUUUUUUACCUUUUAUUUUUAUAGUUUUAUUUUGUCUCUAUUCUCUCAGCUUCUUCCAUUCUCUCAAGCCCUACUUGUUGCACUGAAAUUUCUUUAUGGAAUUUAUGGCAUUUAGUACUCUACGUUUUAUGCCUCUUAAGAAUUUAUGUGUUUUUAGCUAGAUAUUUUUCAUAGAAAAUCACAGAUUUUAUAUUAGUCUCAGUGAUAAAUAUUCUGGAUAAACAUAAACUGGGUGGAUAUAUUGCUUUGACUAAUAUCACUGGUUGAAGAGAUCUAGAUUUAUUGGUAUACAAUGUCACUGUUGGAAAAGUUUUAUGCAACAGAUGAAGCAUUGUAAACUCUUAUUGCUAAUAUCUUGGAGUUUGAAUGGCAAUUAACUAGGGAAAUAAUACCUCCUAAACUCUUUCAAAUCAGGUUCGAGGAUUGCCGACAUUGCUCUUUGUCAGUCCAGAUCCAAGUAAAGAUGCCAUCCGGACUGAAGGGCUCAUCCCAUUACAGAUGAUGCGGGAUAUCAUUGAUAACGAAAUGUGAAGGAGUCCGGGAAAAUGAUUUGGUUAUUGCUCCAUACAAUUGGGGGGCCAUGGUUCUGUUUGGUGAUGGUACAAGCAUUAUCAUUGCUUGUUGAGGUUUGUAAUGUCCUAAUUUACUAAUUGGAAUAUUUCCUUGGAGUCAACAAUUUUGUAGCCAUAUGAUAUCUAAUAGAUGCGGUUUGUAGGUGUGUUUAGAUAUAUGAUGUGUCUGUCGUACAUCCUUGCACGAUUACGAUUCCUUUUACUGUUUAAAUUAUAAGGAUGUUUGGUGAUGCUACAAGCCUUAGGGCAUGGAAAAUAUAUUAACCAGGUCUGAUUGCGGAGCUUCUAUGGCUGACAUUUGGUGUCAUGCUUCCCUACAACAUGCACAAUUAGGGUUGCAUUUGGAAGUGAAUGAAUACAAGGAGGCUUGUGAUCUGGAUGUUAUACUUCGUUUAUAUCUGCACUAGAAACCCCCAAAUUUUCUUUUUCCGUUUUAAAGUAAAAAGAAUAAGAUAAGAGUAAAAGUUGAUGACGCAGUGGAAACAGAAUCGCGUAGAUGCUUGAUAUUAUACUUCUUUUAGAAAGACAAAAGUCCGUAUAUAACUUACUAAAAGCAUAGCUACAAACUCAUGGUAAAGACUUCAAUUAUGCCUCACUUGACUUCUUAAAAGCUUAUGCGAUCUGGAAGGCACUUGGAUUUAACAGAUCAACCAACCACUUGAUUUUUUUUUACUAAUUUCUAUCGAAUUAUGAGUGCCUUGCUGGAUUUCUCACAUUUUAUUUUAUUUAUCAUAGUUUCUCGCUUUUUAUUUAUUUCAUUCUUAGUCAAAAGACCGACUGGUAUAGUGGUUUAGAGCAAUUUGACAUAUCGGAGAGAUCACACAAAUUUACAGUGACUAGUUCUAUACUUUUGUGCCUGUGUCAAAAAUUAAAAUGACAAGUACCAAAGUGAAACAUGAACCGAACCACAUGGACCAAAAAUGUGAUUCGGCAUAUAAUUUGUUUGUACUUCCCAAAAAUGGGAAAGAUAUUUGAGAUGUACAAGAGCCAACCACCUGGAAAAUGUUAACAAAAAAGUUUGCUAGUUUGCAUAUGAGAGAGUUUACAUCUCCAUUGACGGUCCUCCGCUUCUGAUAAAGGGAAAGAGACACAGAAGUUUACAUGUGAACCACCACUACAUUAGAAAGUUAUUUAAAAUGAAGCUAAUAUUAGAUAACGGGGUCUAGUCUAGUGCAAAAUAGCAUUGAUUUGUAAAUUAGUAGUCUCAGUUUCUAACCCCCAUAACACAUUGAUAGUAUAUGGGUGAGAAAACCACCAUCCUGCAGUAUCGCUUGCAUCACCAAAAAAAAAAAAAAAAACUAAUAUUAAAUAUGUAUGCUUAUUUUCACAAAUAGUCCCUGAAGUUCACGAAAUUAUCAUAUUUGAUCAUUUAUGUUUUUUUUUGUGACAUAAUUGGUUAAGGUUACUCUUGGUACAUCAAGUUGGUCCUUGUCGUGAGGUUCUGUCAAAAUUAAGGACCAACUUGAUGUACCAAGAGUAACCUUAAAGACCAACUAUGGCACAAAAAAAACCUAAAAAACCAAUGUGACAAUUUCGUGAACCUCAAGAACCAUUUGUAAAAAUAAGCCAAAUAUAUAUUAAACCCACACAAAAAAUAUCAAAUCCAAAUUUUACAUUCUCAUAUUAUAGCAAAAAAUUACAUUUACAUCUUCCGAAAAUAUAAAGUGGGAUGCAAAAGUAGUUUUACGUCUCCAAAUUUACAUUUUUUUAACACCUAAAGAUCACCUCCAAGUCUUCCAUUCCCUUUUUAUGGUACCAAAAUUUCUUGGUUCGAAGCUUCUAUACAUCCUUUUCCAUUUCUUUCUCACCUCACUUCCCUUUCUCCUAUAUUUUCCCUUCAACCUUUCGUUUUCUUCCCGAGUAUUCUUUGAACUUAGGCGAGAGGUCACAACACAACAUUAAUUGAACAUGAUCACCUAUAUAGCAAAAGUAGAAUAAGCCACAAUUCUUCUUCGUAUUCACACAUCCCUUUCAUUAUCUUUCUUUCCUUUCAGUUCACCUUUUUUUCCAUCCACGGAAAUAAUCAGACUUCUACGCCAACCAAAUGUGUUAAAUGUUAUUUUCGUGAAACUUCUUUCCUUUCUCACUAGGGACAAAAUUUAAAUGACUUGCCACCACCCUACGCGUUUCUUCUUGGUUUACAUUGGAGUUGUAUGGGUUCCAACUAGGGUGCCGUAGGGGGUAGAAAAACUUGUAUUAAAUAGAGAUAGUACUGUUUUGCUAUCCUCAAUAAUUAUAUACUGUCAUAAAAAAAAGUUAUCACAAAUAGUGAGUUUGUAACUCAAAUAGUUAACAUACCGUAAUUAAAUAGAGAAACACUUACCGUAAUUAAUACCCCCGUUUUAUGUAAGUGUUUCUCUAUGGUGGGAACUAUUGGCACUCCCUACGUAUAUUUCAUUUGACUAAAACACGAUGAAUAGUGAGUUUGUAACUCAAAUAGUUAAAAACAGUUGCCCUUACACUUAAGGUACUAUGCAUGAACCUCCUCUCGCUCAAUAUUACUGGUGUCGAAUGCUUAUGUAUAGUUUUAUAAAUUGGCCCUUAGUGAAAAAUCAUAAUAAUAAAUUGAAUCGUAUUUGAGACUCAUGUAAGGUUCAUUUAUUUGAGAUCGAGAAAGAAAAUGUUGGGUUUUAUAACAUCGUCUUCCAACAACUAAGCACUUAUGUUCAUAAAAGCUUUUUUCAAAAGCGCUUUUAUUAAAACCGCGAAAAACACCUUUAUAACCUAGAAAAACUUUUAAAUGUAAGUUUUAUAACCUAAUAAAAAAGUUUUUGAUUGUCAGAAAACCAUUCUGAAAGCAGUACCAAUGUGUGUCUUCAAUGACUAGAAAGAUUAAAUAUCAACUCUCAUUGAUUGCAUUCAAGAAACUACUAAAAAUACUCAAAGCACAGCACUUACAAAUGUAUCCACUACAUUAAAUACAAGCCCAAUUUGGCAAGAAGCACAGCUCAUAGCUAGCGAGAUGGAUCUAAUCUAUUAGCCAAGCAAUAAUCUUUAGACAGAAUAAUGAACGACUCCGUUUCCGGCUGUCUCGGCGGGUGAGAAUGCAAGAAACAUGAGAGCGGCCAUUAUGCCAACGGGAAAGAACAAGAGCAUCAACGGCGGAGGAGGCAGCGGAGGCAGCAACAACGGCAGAACCACCAUGAACAACGCUAGACCCGCCAACACCAGAACAGAACCCAAGCUCAUACACUGCACCAUGACCACCUACGACCUCCGACGAACAUUUCUCUCCCUCCCCAAACGACAAUGCCAGGUCAGCAAACGACAACAGCGAGCACCAGCAAGAAUGGCAACGAAUUUAUGAAAAGGCUUUGACAGUGGAUUAACGGCUUGUAUUGGUUGGUAUAUAUAUAGGGAUGGCGGAUGUGUUGGAGUUGUGAUCUGGUGGGUGAGGGUGUAUGGAGAUGUGAUGUGGCCGGUGAGAUCAGGACCGUUGGCUUGGAGAUUUUAAAAUGGUGUGUGGGGACCAGGGAGUGGAUUUUUGUUCGGUUUUUAUUGGGAGAAAAUCCAGUUUGGGGUGAUGGUCCGAAUCGGCCAGAAUCGGAGCGCCAGAUCCCGAGAUAUUCGGCUGAUACGUUUCAGCAACUUCUACUGUAAAUUUGAUUUAGUUCAUUUUUAAAUCUUGGGUUAGGUGCGGUCUUUAUUUAUUUUUUUCAAAAGUAAAUUAUUCUACAUGUCCUCUUGGUAUUACGAAUAUAUUAAAAUUAUAACUCGUAGAGAAUUAUUAAUAUUAUCAUAAAUCCAACAUGAUACAUCAACAAUUACAUAUGUUAUUUCCCAAAAAAAAAAAAAAAGGGUUAUACAUACUACUUGCCUCCUU